rnacentral:lncRNA from 1 species
CCAUUUCAACAUCAUACAACCAAAUAGUUGCGAAUACAUUCGCAAUUAUCGAUCAUAGACAACCAAAACAAAAAUAUCAAUUGCAAUCAUAACUCAUACCAUAGCAAUUAGAAUUGCAAACAACCAAAUAACCUCUUAAAGCAAGUUAAUGAAACUUACAACAAAGAAAGGUUGGCAAACAAUAGUCAAAAGCCCAACAGAAGGCAUCAAUAUCUUGUGCUCAUGGUCCAACACUGAUAAUAUUAAGGGCAUGCAGGAUUUACAUGUUAUGCUUUCAUCUCCAUAGGCUGACAGGCCAACCAUUUCUAUGUUGCCAGCCAUGCUACAGAAUCAGUUUAUCUCAAGCUGCAAAACUCUAAUGAGAGUGGAAUUCAAUCUCAGAUCUCAAUCAGCAAUUAGGUGACACAUUUAUGAAGAAAAUAACUUCAUCAGGAAUUUUCUAUGGUUAAUCUUUUUCUUUUUUUUUUUGAUUGAACUAUCAUUAAAACUAUAGAGGAGGGAAAUGCAUGCAAGGAAAAAACAAGUUGCAUAAGAAAAGUAGAUCUGCCAAAUUAUGCACUUUAUCCAGAUAUAAAGGUUGAUGUUAAAUUUUUCCUAUGUACCUUUUACUAUUGAAUGUGAUCUUGGCUCCAAUAUCAAGUCAGUUUCACCCCAUUCUCUGCUCUGGACUCUGGAGGGGCUUUUUGCAACUCCAAGAAAGCAAGGCUUUUGCAGUAUCUAACAAGAGAGAAGGCAAGCACACAGGGCCAAAAGGCCAUCUAAAAUCAAACACAAGUGGGAAAAGAGAGGAGACAGUGAACAACCUCCACCCUCAGCAUGUCCCAACUGGAAGUGCAAAAAGUAACAACAAAUGGAGAAGGGAAUGUACACAAAGUGUGCCUGCAAAGAGUGGCAGGUGGAGACUGGAGGUCAGCCUCCCAGUAGCAGAAACCAUCUCAGCUUUUUUGGGACUCGUGAUCCCUAGAAAGAAGUAUCUCCACCAAUCAUCCAAGAUUUUCAUGGAGCCCAUGAAGAUAUCGGCAUAUCAUUUGUUUUGUUUUUUUGUGCUCUCUCAUUGUAUCAGAAUUCCACUGCUGGGGAGGAAACACUAGAU